rnacentral:lncRNA from 1 species
UUGGUAAAUUACCUGGUUUGUAGUUUCAGGUUUUUGCUUGAUGCUUCUGCCGAGAGAUUGUUCAGUCCUUUAAAGCUGUUUGCACAUCUGAGCUUAAAAGUUGCCUUUCUUUGCUACAGACAAACGCAGUAUCCAACAGAACCGUUGCUAAGUCCUCUUCGGAUGACUUCUGUCUCUGUACUUAUACUGCGCUGCCUCUGGAUCCUUCAUGCAAAUGGCUGUGAGAUUACUGGCUGUUAACGGRAUCCUGCAAUGUAGCAGCACUGAAGAUCAGAAUCCCAUUAUGGGAUGGUCCUAGGAUCCCGCAGCACAGCACAACAUCAGGAGUAAACUUCAUGAUGUUUUUUGGGUGAGCUGGUUGGCUUUGAGCUUCCCUMGCGUUGGCAUGGCUCCCUGGAAGUCACUGAUCACCAGACAGCGCAGGAGGACAAUUGCAUUAACCACGUG